AGUGGCGAACGGGUGAGUAACACGUAGGUAACCUGCCACGCAGAGGGGGAUAACGACUGGAAACGGUCGCUAAUACCGCAUGGUACUAGCUUGAUGGGAAUCUAGCUGGUUAAAACCUUGGUGCUGCGUGAGGGGCCUGCGUCCGAUUAGUUAGUUGGUGGGGUAACGGCCCACCAAGACGAUGAUCGGUAGCUAGUCUGAGAGGAUGAUUAGCCACACGGGAACUGAGACACGGUCCCGACUCCUACGGGGGGCAGCAGUGAGGAAUAUUGCACAAUGGACGAAAGUCUGAUGCAGCAACGCCGCGUGGAGGAUGACGGCCCUUGGGUUGUAAACUCCUUUUUUCAGGGAAGAGAAUGGACGGUACCUGAAGAAUAAGUCACGGCUAACUACGUGCCAGCAGCCGCGGUAAUACGUAGGUGGCAAGCGUUAUCCGGAAUUACUGGGCGUAAAGCGUGCGCAGGCGG
rnacentral:rRNA from 1 species